rnacentral:lncRNA from 1 species
CUGAACUUAGGUCUGUCUCCUUAAACCUGGGACCCUGGCUGCACCCAGACCUUCCCAGGGCCCCGUGGAGAGGGUGUAUUGGUGUAACUGCACAGAUAGGGUGUUGCAUGGAGAUGGGGGGUGAGCAGUAGCAGCCCAGAGGGCUGUUUGGAUAGAUGUUGUCUGAGAAGGGGACUCAGGAAGAGAGCCCAAAGUGAAGUCACUUCCUUGACAAUAGACCCCCACAGAACUUGGAACCCCUGUAACCAGGCGCCCACAUUCCAGUGACAGCCCCAUACCCAGCCCACUUGGCCAGACACUUCACUUACAAAUAUGUUCUCCCGCUGUGUCCUCACUUAACGGGGCUCUUGUUUUGGGACAGCCUGGAGUGAGAGCCUUUUCGGAAGCUGCAGACAUUUGUUCAACCCUCACUCGACCCAGACACCUCUGGCCAUUUGACAGGAGGUCCCCUAAGAGCUCCACCCAGGAGACGGGACAGGAGCUGAUCAGUGGGGUCCUCUACUGCAUCUGCCUGCAGGGGAGCAGGUGCCCCACACCAGCCACAGAGUCCGGCGCUGGCUCAUGGGUGAAAAUGUGUCCACAGUGAAAUGGAAGAGACCCGCAUGGUGUGGACCGUCCAGGGAGGCAGGCCAGAAAAGCAAGUGGAGCACCUGGUGUUCGCCUUCCUGGGCAGUGACCCCUCAUACGUGCCCACCCUCCUGGGCACCUGCAGAGCUUCUGCCAACACCCAACAGCACUCGACCUGCUGUUCAAAGGAUCAUCUCCUCAAUCCUGGGCACCUGACUGGACCAGGAUUUCCACCAGCCACCAGAAUUUCCCUGCCUGAAGAUGCUACUGGCCUACACUGGGCUCAACAUGCCGGCUCGGACCUGGAGCGCCAUGCCCACCCGCUUCUGGCACAACUAGAGCACCUUAAGCCCAUUGAGGGUGAGGAGGACUGAGGGUGAAGACUCAGGGUGGGCGAUGUGGGCUGUGGGGAGCGGUGGGGCUGGGUCACACAGAGCUGAGCCUCCGGAGGCUAGAGUUGGGUCAGGAGCAAUGAGUAGCCUCAGAUCACUAUUCCCACCCACUACAGUCUGGACCACUUCCUGGGGGUGGGUUCCUGGAAGAAGACUUCAUCGAUUGACAGAGAGAGGUUUCCUGUGUAUUUGGAGGGCACAUGGAAAGGCAGUCAUGUUCAUGAUAUUUUCUCCUCUUGGAGCUACAGUACCAGCUCCAGAGCAAGCUCUAGAACCACUUCAAGAGUUAGUGCCAGCUCCCAUUCUACUGCCCACUACAGUUCCAGAGCCAGAGCCAGCUCAAGCCACAGCUCUCAUUCAAUUCAAGAGCUCAAACAAGCAUAUAUGUCAGCUAUAAUUCCUGAGCCAGGGAGUGCUCAAGCCACAGCUGUCAUUCAAGCUCAAGAGCUAGAACAAGCACCUACAUAAGCUCCAAUUCCAGAGCCAGGAAAGGUUCAAGCAACACCUCCCACCUAAUGUCCAGAGCUAGAAGCAUCACGAAAACCUAUUCUAGUAUGAGCUCCAGAACUCCAGCAAGUUCCAUCAACAGCUCCAGCUCCAGAGCACAAGCCAACCACAGCAAGAGCACUACCGCCAGCUCUUGAGCCCCAUAGUGCUUUGGCACCAGCUCCAGUUCUAGAACUAAAGACAAUAACAGACCCCAUUCUCAAAGCAACACUGGUGCCAGAGCCAGUUCCUCCCCCAGUAUACUAGAGCUGGUACCAGCUCAGCAACCAGCGCCAGCUCCUGCAACGCCUCCAGGGCCCGAUCACAAGCUGCAACUCACACCAGCUGCAGCCCCAGAGACUUCCUUCCCCUCCCCUAUAAUUCCACUUUUUAAAUUUUUGUUUUUCCUUAUAUUUACUCAAUAUUUUACUAUAUUCUAUCAUAUAAAAUUCACAAAAUAAAAUUUAACUCUUUGAUCACUUUAAAUGGGACAUUAAGUACAUUCACAAUCUUGCAUAAUCCCCACUGCUGUCUAUUCCAGAACAUUUUCAUCAAAGAGAAGCCCCGUAUCUACUAGUCAGUCACUCCUCCUUCCUGUCACCCAGCCCCUGGCACCGACUAUCUUCUUUAUGUCUCUAUGGAUUUAUCAAAACGGGGCUGUCCAUAUCAGAGGAAUCAUAUAAUAUGUGGCCUUCUGUGUCUGGCUAAAUAAUGCAUGAGGAGACUGAUUAAUGAUCAUUUUUAUUUCAACAGAAGUAAUUUUUUUUAUUAACAAGGACAAUCCUUGAUCCAUGAAAGAUUAUGUGUAGGAAAUGAUGCCUAAAUAUUAAAUGUUUUCAUUACCUUGGGAUAGGGAACACUUUCACAUGUAUGACACAAGAGCCAGCAACAUAAGGGAAAUAUCUGAACAGUGAGACACUUAAAAUCUUUUCUUUUUUGGAUUGGCAAUGUGUGAAUUUUUUCUAACAUGUAUUUUUUUAAAAUUGAUAUCACAUAUUAAAUGUUAUCCAUUUAUCACAAAUCUCUUAAUUAAUAAUGUACUUUAUAUGGUUUUUUAAAGUUUAAGAUAAAGAUAAUGUUUAUUUAUUAAAAUAAGGAUUUAAAUAUGGACUAAUAAAGGAAGAUAUACUCCUCCUACCAAGAAAUAGUUGCCCACAGCACGUGGCGUCCAUCCUUCCAUCCUUUCCCUUUAAGUGCAGGUGGCGGGUGUGUGUGUUUGAGGGUGUGGUGUGGGGAUUCCAGGGCUGUGCUCUUCUGUAACCUGAUGUCCCCACAGGUGGACAUGCACAGUCAGUCCUGUCCCCUUGUGCAUUCUCAGUGGCCACACAUCACGACUUACUCAGCAUCCCCGGCUGUUGAACAAUGGGGCCAUUUCCAAUUUUUCACUCCCAAAAUUGUGCUGAAAGGUACAACUGUGUCCAUAAAUCUCUAUUCUUUUAGGACUGAUCCCUAUAAAUGGAAUUUCUGGAACACAAUAUGUCCACGUUUUAAGGUAUUGCUGUGGCUUCCAUUACCUGCGGUCUCUUUAUGAAGUUUAAGCUUUGUUUGGGAAAGCAGGGACUCCAGAGACACUUGGUUGAACAUAAGCAUUUUGAGGAAGUUGAAAAAGCCAGCAGUGGAGGCCAUCAGGAUACCUGGGAGUGAUCCAUGGAGCAGGGAGGGCCCCUGAAGACCCCACCAGAUACCUCUUCCACAACACCCACUGCUCCAUGCCCUGGACCAUGUGUCUCCCAGCCCCUUCUAUGACACACCCCAGGCCCCACCCAGCGGCCACCCCAGCCCCUCCUGCUCCACAACUCAGCCUCUGGGCAAAGCCAGACCCUGCCAUCUAGGACAGAGGAAGGUACAGGCCAGGCCACUCCUGUCUGCCAUCUUCCCCCAUGCCAGAGUCCCUUUCUCUCCACAGGAAAGCUCCUCUAAGGGCACGUCAGCGUGUUGUAGGCAUGACCUUGAAUGUGUUCAAUCCAGGUGAAGUUCUCAGUUGCAACAGCAGGACCCACUUGAGCUUGUGUGAGCAGAAGAGGCCUUUAUAAAGCACAUCAAGGGCUCUUGGAAGCUGCGUGAAGGUCAGAGGCUCAGGCCAGGGUAUUGGAGCUGGGCACAGCCCCAAAUCACCCCUCAGGCUCCUCCAGCAGUGACCCCCUGUGCCCAGCCCUGUGCCAGCCCCCGGCCCUGCUAUCCCUCACAUUAGGCUUCUGUGUUGGAGUGAGCUCUGCCUCCUGCCCAAGACUCCAAGUGAGGAUGAAAAAGGGAGCCCUAUUCUCCCUCAAAAUAAGAUCAAGUUGAGUCCUCUGGUCAGAGGCUGUUGAGUGAGGCCAUGGUCAGCGAUCUCUCUCUUCUCUGGGAAUCCAGAGAUGGAUCCCCCAUGCAGAGAACAUUGGUCUUCAUUGGGAAGAAACUGGAGCUCUCCCUAGAGGUAGAGAAAGUGACAUCCCUGAUUGAAUGGGGGCAGGGGAGAGCAGAGAUCAGCGAGGACUAAGGGGAAGGGUUGCCAUGGGCUGUGUCGCUGCCCUUAUGAAUAGGGGCACGGGCUCUGUGUCGGAUUGCAGGAAGGGGCCAGGAAUCAUCCUGCCAAAGUUUCAUCCAAAACCACAUUCUCCUCCAGAAAACAUCUUCAAUUCUGACCACCAAAAUGACUGUGGGCUACCUGGCAGCCAUGGAAGCCCAACAUGCUGCCUACCUUGUGAGCAGAGAGGAGGGAUGAAAAAUGCAUGACCCAGGGCAGAAACAUUUCCUGCCUCGGCAAAGAGGGUGCCCUGUCAUUGGAGCAGAAAAUGCAUGCACGGAAUCCCAGAAUGCAGAUCUCAAAAUGUAGCAUGUCACUGUCUACAGACACUAAGAUCCGAGCCAAGUAUGGAGCUGGCACUGGAGUUACUUACUCAUAGAGAUACUUUUAUCUCUGGAGUUGGUAGUAAUGAUUGUUCUUGAGAUACACAUCUUUGCCAACAGUUUCUAAUUUCUGUGUGUGUGUGUUAAUUAUAGCCAUUGCAGUGGGUGUGGAGUGGUAUCUCAUUGUGGUUUUG